rnacentral:rRNA from 1 species
AAUCCUAACUCAGGGAGGUAGUGACAAGAAAUAACAACGCGGGGCUCUGUCUCGCGAUUGGAAUGAGAACAAUGUAGAAGCCUUAACGAGGAUCCACUGGAGGGCAAGUCUGGUGCCAGCAGCCGCGGUAUACCAGCUCCAGUAGCGUAUAUUAAAGUUGUUGCAGUUAAAAAGCUCGUAGUUGAAAUUCUGUACGGAACGACGUCUUCGGAUGAUCGAGCCGUGCAUCCGCCUGAGCAGCAGGUCGGUACUUUGUUGCCGGUUUGUGAUCAGGCACUUUACCUUGAGCAAAUUAGAGUGUUCCAGGCAGGCGUCAGCCUGAAUAGUCCAGCAUGGAAUAAUAGAAGAGGACUGAAAACCACUGUUGGUGUUGUGGUAAUCAGUAAUGAUUAAUAGGGAUAGUUGGGGGCAUUCGUAUUUAAUUGUCAGAGGUGAAAUUCUAUGAUUUAUUAAAGACGAACCUAUGCGAAAGCAUUUGCCAAGGAUGUUUUCAUUAAUCAAGAACGAAAGUUAAGGGAUCAAAGACGAUCAGAUACCGUCGUAGUCUUAACCAUAAACUAUGCCGACUAGAGAUUGGAGGUGCAACUCCAAGACUCCUUCAGCAUCUUACGAGAAAUCAAAGUCUCUGGGUUCUGGGGGGAGUAUGGUCGCAAGACUGAAACUUAAAGGAAUUGACGGAAGGGCACCACCAGGUGUGGAGCCUGCGGCUUAAUUUGACCCAACACGGGGAAACUUACCAGGUCCAGACAUAGCGAGGAUUGACAGACUGACAGCUCUUUCCUGAUUCUAUGGGUGGUGGUGCAUGGCCGUUCUUAGUUGGUGGAGUGAUUUGUCUGGUUAAUUCCGAUAACGAACGAGACCUCAGCCUGCUAAAUAGUCAGAGUCCGAUUGGGCUUGUGACUUCUUAGAGGGACUGUGGGGGCUACUCCACGGAAGUUUGAGGCAAUAACAGGUCUGUGAUGCCCUUAGAUGUCCUGGGCCGCACGCGCGCUACACUGAUGCAGGCAGCAAGCACCGUGGCAGAAAUGUCUCGGAAAACUACAAACUGCAUCGUGCUGGGGAUUGACUCUUGGAAUUCUUGGUCAUAAACGAGGAAUACCUAGUAAACGCAAGUCAUCAGCUUGCAUUGAUUACGUCCCUGCCCUUUGUACACACCGCCCGUCGCUCCUACCGAUUUGAGUGGUGCGGUGAACCCUUCGGACCGGUACGCCGGAAAGUUGAGUAAACCUUACCACUUAGAGGAAGGAGAAGUCGUAACAAGGUA